UUAACUCUUCCUCCUUCAUUUCCUGAUCUUUUUUAGCAGCCAGAGUUCGAAGACGGUUCCAUACGGAUCUUAGAGAAACAAGUAGAAGACCUCCAGAAGCAGCUGGCAGAGAAAACAGGCGAGAAGGAAAAUCUUGGGAAGGAGUUGGAGGUCCUUAGGAGCCGCCUCUCAUCAGUUGAGAACGAGAAGGAGAACACCAGCUACGACAUUGAAACUCUUCAAGAUGAAGAAGGAGAGUUACUGGACUUUCCAGG